rnacentral:rRNA from 1 species
UACGUAGGAGGCAAGCGUUGUCCGGAAUUACUGGGCGUAAAGCGCGUGUAGGUGGUGGGACAAGUCUGCUGUGAAAGCGCCUGGCUUAACCGGGCGAGGUCGGCGGAAACUGUCCGACUCGAGGACGGUAGAGGGGGGUGGAAUUCCCGGUGUAGUGGUGAAAUGCGUAGAGAUCGGGAGGAACACCUGUGGCGAAGGCGGCCCCCUGGGCCGGCCCUGACACUGAGACGCGAAGGCGUGGGGAGCGAACUGG